GCAGAGGAAUCUCUGGAUGCCUGAUUGCAGCUGACAGAAUCAGUGGAAAAUAAAUUGCCAGACAGCCUAAGGCAUUCUGUUUGUGUACCUGGCACUGGAGGACAAAAUGGUGAUGCCAGCCAAGGUGUGUGUGCCACCAGUGCAGUGGUGGGAGCAGUGUCUGUGCCCAGCAAUGAGAUGCCCUAUGUCUUGUGCCCACUCCAGGCAGAGGAUCUGCACAGGGACCCAUCCCAGGGCACAGUGUGGGACCAGAAGGAGAUUGGCAAGAGGUUGCACCGUGCUGUGCAUGGGACUGCAGCACCCUGACAACAGGUUUCAUCCCAGGUUUGAACCCAGCAGUGCUCCUUUCCUGUCCUAUGGUUUUGCUAUGAGAGGGGGAAGAAGUGCCUGGAGAAAAGAGCAACACCUGCACAUGCAGCUGGUGAGACCAGGCUGUGAAAAUGUCCUGUUUUCCCUUCCCACCCUGCAGUGAUGGACUCCACAGGUGGACUGAAGCCCCGGGAAAUGUGGGAGGUGUCGACACAUGGUUUGUGCACCACCCCAUUCGCUGCAGGAACAGACGAUUGUAUCUCCCCAGAACAAAGAAGGACAAAGU